AACGAACGCUGGCGGCAGGCUUAACACAUGCAAGUCGAACGGGUGUAGCAAUACAUCAGUGGCAGACGGGAGAGUAACACGUGGGAACCCUCCUAGAGGUACGGAACAACUCAGGGAAACUUGAGCUAAUACCGUAUACGCUCGUGAGAGGAAAGAUUUAUCGCCUUUAGACGGGCCCGCGUCGGACUAGCUAGUUGGUGAGGUAACGGCUCACCAAGGCGACGAUCCGUAGCUGAUCUGAGAGGAUGAUCAGCCACACUGGAACUGAGACACGGUCCAGACUCCUACGGGAGGCAGCAGUGGGGAAUCCUGGACAAUGGGCGCAAGCCUGAUCCAGCCAUGCCGCGUGAGUGAAGAAGGCCUUCGGGUUGUAAAGCUCUUUUGUCAGGGACGAUAAUGACGGUACCUGAAGAAUAAGCCCCGGCAAACUUCGUGCCAGCCGCCGCCGUAA
rnacentral:rRNA from 1 species